UACGUAGGGGGCAAGCGUUGUCCGGAAUCAUUGGGCGUAAAGCGCGUGUAGGCGGCCACGUAAGUCCGCUCUGAAAGCCCGGGGCUCAACCCCGGGAGGCGGGUGGAUACUGCGUGGCUCGAGUCCGGAAGAGGCGAGUGGAAUUCCCGGUGUAGCGGUGAAAUGCGCAGAUAUCGGGAGGAACACCAAUGGCGAAGGCAGCUCGCUGGGACGUGACUGACGCUGAGACGCGAAAGCGUGGGGAGCAAACAGGG
rnacentral:rRNA from 1 species